CACUUAAAACUGCUCCUGCACAUCUCCUUCCACCUCAGGAUCAGGCAGACUCUCCUCAGCCUGACAGCACCCUCACGGGUCCAGUGCUUGCGGAGAAGGAAAUUUAAGCUUGGCCUCCAAUUCUGGGUGGGGGCUGCAUCGAGCCUUAUUUGGUCAGCGUGGGACGACCCUCCAAUUCUCUGGAUUGAAGCAUUCUGUCUCUUUCGGACGUCUGCUGGAGGAUUUUCAGUUGAGCGGAGUGUGACAGUGAUAGACGGAGGAGAGGAGAGCAGAAGAAAGCAGGGCUCAGAGGCGGUGUUCUGGCUCCAGGGAUUUUAAACACAGAAACAGACUCUGAGAGUCUCUGCCAGGGGCGGGGAGACGCCUAAAAGGACCAGAGCCAGGUGUGGAUGAUGACUCAAUUUGUGAGGAAGCAUCCGAAGUUCUAGAAGAGGAGAGACCUCGUCCCCAAGGUUCCUCGCCGGUCAAUGAAUACCCUGUUACUGAAAAGUACACAGAUAUUGACAAACAGG